rnacentral:lncRNA from 1 species
CCGGUUCUGAGGUUUACAGCAAACUUCUCAGAGCACAUGGGCAAUUUUCCCCAAGCCCUUGAAAUGAAAGACAAAGAAAGCAGAGUGACAGGGCAUCUGUGGAGAAAGGGCUUGCUGGGCAGGCCAGGCCAAUUAGCUGCUUUCCACCCCUGAGCUCUCUGUGGUGGUCUUCCAGUGUUUGGUGGGGAGGGGAGGGGAGCCAUGGGGCCUGGCGUGCCUGACACCCAAUUAGUGCUCAUUCACCAACUGACCAGCCCAGCUGGCUGGCCUGCUCCCUUCCAGCUGCUCAGCAGCCGGCUCCAACAGCUCUAAGAACAGGGGGUGCUAAUUGGAUGCUGAAACCCAGCCGCUUCUCCAUCCGCCCAGCCCAGCCUUGUGAAGGCCGCGGCUUUCUUGGCCAAGCUCCUGCCCCUGGUUCCGCUGUCAACUCAUCCUCCCUGGGAAAAUGCCGCUCCUCUCAAGUAGAAAUGUAACAGCCAGCGCUGCAGCUUCCACCAGAAUUCUUGAAGAGCCCAAGUCAAGGCAGAAGCAAGAUUCCUGGAAGAGGAGCAGUGUACCUUCUACAUAUGGCCAUGGCAGAGUAACUGGGAUCAGAUUUCCUUCCCAAUAUAAACAAUAAGAAAACUAGACGAAAGAUAUAAAACAACUGUUUUCAAACAUUGAACAACUGGCAGUGCAGGAUUGUGAUCCUUGUGAGCAGACUGGGACACUGGUCUUCUCCUUCCUUUGGACUCAGACUCAGACUUAGACUGGAAUUUACAACAUCAACUCACCUGGGUUUCCAGCUUGCCAACUUCAGAUCUUGGACUUCUCAUCUUCUAUAAUCAUGAUCUGUUCCAGAAGGAACUGCUGGAUCAAAGCAUGUGCGAACUCUUAAGGCUUCUGAUACAUAUUGCCAAAUUACCACUCGAAGGACUUACCAGCAGUGAAUGGGAGAACCUCUUCCCCAGGGUCCUGACCCACCCAACCAUAAACACACAAUAAGGAAGUAAGGGGGAUGGGGGAGGGAUAUUAAUGUUUUAAUUUGUUCUUUUGUUUAUAAGUAAAGAAAAAUUUGUUUAUUCCUUAUGA